rnacentral:tRNA from 1 species
GAUAAGAUGGCUGAAGAAAGGCAAUAAAUUGUAAAUUUAUUUAUGAGUAAUACUCUUUUAUCA